AGUGAACGCUGGCGGUAUGCCUAACACAUGCAAGUCGAACGGCAGCACAGUAGGUGCUUGCUCUUACGGGAGGCGAGUGGCGAACGGGCGAGUAAUACAUCGGAAUCUACUUUUUCGUGGGGGAAUACGAGGGGAAACUUACGCUUAUACCGCAAACGACCUUAGGGUGAAAUCAUGCGAUGUGCGGACCUUGCGCGAGUUAAUGCGCCGAUGUGGGAUUAGCGAGGUGGGGGGGGAAAGGCCCACCAAGGCGUGCAUGCGUAACUGGCCUGAGAGGAUGAUCCGCCACAUGGGGACUGAGACACGGGCCAAACUCCUACGGGGGGCAGCAGGAGGGAAUCUUCGGAAAUGGAGGCAAAUCUUACGCAGCACCGCCGCGGGGGGGAAAAAGGGCUUCGGGUUGUAAAGCCCUUUUGUUAGGGAAAAAAAGCGCAUAGAUUAACUCCCAGGCGUUUGACGGUACCCAAACAGAAAGCCACGGCUAACUUCGUG
rnacentral:rRNA from 1 species